rfam:Mus musculus chromosome 9, GRC primary reference assembly.
ACACAACCCCCCUAGUCUGUGUGCAUGAGUUGGGUUUGUCUAAAAACUACUGUGAUGCAAUGAAGGUAAAAGGCCUUGCCUGGGGUGGGGGUGGGGGGGCAAAGUGGUAUUCUGGGUUCUCUCCUGACCACUGAGGGUGCAGGAGUGGCCCAUUUCUCUGGCCAUGCUAGGGAGGUGGAGCACAAGCACAUGCAUUAGGACCUGAAAGAUGGUGAAGUAUUCCUAGGAAGGGCAAAGCCAGAGGAAACUCUGGGGAGGUCCUUAUCAGUCUGGACAUGCAAAUCAAUUGUACCACUGAGGUGUAAGAGCUAAAAACUAAUCGAACCAUCUAGUAGCUGGUUCCCUAUGACGUUUCCCCCAGUAUAGCUAGCACUCUCUCAAAACACACACACACACACACCAAAAAAAUUCCACAGUUUUAUCCUAUAAAGGGAAUGAUUAGAAAUCUUGGGGCUGAAACGAUAUCAACCUAUUCUCAGACUUUAAAUGGGUAAGAAGCCUGGCUCAGUGGUAAAGAGCAAGGAGUGGAAUGUGAGUGAUUCCUGGGAUAUUUUUGGAAAGCAGCACUGGUACUGUGGGAUGAGUCGGUGGCCAGGUUAAAGUUCAUGACACUGACACUCAUCAGACCCCAGAAAAGGUGUUGGUUGAUAUAGACAGCAAGAUGUUGGCCAUGGAAGUCGGAAUCCGCUAAGGAGUGUGUAACAACUCACCUGUCAAAUCAACUAGCUGUGAAAAUGGAUGGUGCUGGAUCGUCAGAGGCACCUGAGCUUUGCUUCCUUCCCUGUGGGUACAGUGCUGUGAUGAGCCGCUGGCUGUAGUGAGCCUCGAAUUAUAGAGUGCAGGACUGAGUGGAGCCAAUGUGGGUGCAGAUCUUGGUGGUAGAAGCAAAUAUUCAUAGGAGAAAUUUGAAAGCCAAAGUGGAGAAGGGUUCCAUGUGAACAACAGUUGAACAUGGUCAGUCAGUCCCAAGAGAUAUGUGAGGACUUUUCUGAAGAAACGAGCAAUGGCC